CGCAGGGUGGAGCAGCUCGGUAGCUCGCUGGGCUCAUAACCCAGAGGUCGCAGGUUCAAAUCCUGUCCCCGCUA
rnacentral:tRNA from 1 species